rnacentral:rRNA from 1 species
AGGACGACGCUGGCGGCGUGCUUAACACAUGCAAGUCGAACGGUGAAGGGGAGCUUGCUCCCCGGAUCAGUGGCGAACGGGUGAGUAACACGUGGGCAACCUGCCCCAGACUUCGGGAUAACGCUUCGAAAGAGGUGCUAAUACCGGAUACGAACUCCUUGGGCAUCCCGGGAGUUGGAAAGUUUUUCGGUCUGGGAUGGGCCCGCGGCCUAUCAGCUUGUUGGUGAGGUAACGGCUCACCAAGGCGACGACGGGUAGCCGGCCUGAGAGGGCGACCGGCCAUACUGGGACUGAGACACGGCCCAGACUCCUACGGGAGGCAGCAGUGGGGAAUAUUGCGCAAUGGCGAAAGCCUGACGCAGCAACGCCGCGUGAGGGAUGACGGCCUUCGGGUUGUAAACCUCUUUCAGCAGGGAAGAAGCGAAAGUGACGGUACCUGCAGAAGAAGCACCGGCUAACUACGUG